rnacentral:rRNA from 1 species
UGGGGAAUAUUGCACAAUGGGGGAAACCCUGAUGCAGCGACGCCGCGUGAACGAAGAAGGUAUUCGUAUCGUAAAGUUCUGUCCUAUGGGAAGAUAAUGACAGUACCAUAGAAGAAAGCUCCGGCUAAAUACGUGCCAGCAGCCGCGGUAAUACGUAUGGAGCGAGCGUUGUCCGGAAUUAUUGGGCGUAAAGGGUACGCAGGCGGGUUAAUAAGUCGAAUGUUAAAGAUCGGGGCUCAACCCCGCAAAGCAUUGGAAACUGAUAAACUUGAGUAGUGGAGAGGAAAGUGGAAUUACUAGUGUAGUGGUGAAAUACGUAGAUAUUAGGAGGAAUACCAGUAGCGAAGGCGACUUUCUGGACACAAACUGACGCUGAGGUACGAAAGCGUGGGGAGCAAACAGG